rnacentral:rRNA from 1 species
GACGAACGCUGGCGGCGUGCCUAAUACAUGCAAGUUGAGCGCUGAAGGUUGGUACUUGUACCGACUGGAUGAGCAGCGAACGGGUGAGUAACGCGUGGGGAAUCUGCCUUUGAGCGGGGGACAACAUUUGGAAACGAAUGCUAAUACCGCAUAAAAACUUUAAACACAAGUUUUAAGUUUGAAAGAUGCAAUUGCAUCACUCAAAGAUGAUCCCGCGUUGUAUUAGCUAGUUGGUGAGGUAAAGGCUCACCAAGGCGAUGAUACAUAGCCGACCUGAGAGGGUGAUCGGCCACAUUGGGACUGAGACCCGGCCCAAACUCCUACGGGAGGCAGCAGUAGGGAAUCUUCGGCAAUGGACGAAAGUCUGACCGAGCAACGCCGCGUGAGUGAAGAAGGUUUUCGGAUCGUAAAACUCUGUUGGUAGAGAAGAACGUUGGUGAGAGUGGAAAGCUCAUCAAGUGACGGUAACUACCCAGAAAGGGACGGCUAACUACGUG